GCAGCAGCCGCGGGAAAACGGAGGGUGCAAGCGUUACUCGGAAUCACUGGGCGUAAAGGACGCGUAGGCGGAUUAUCAAGUCUCUUGUGAAAUCCUAUGGCUUAACCAUAGAACUGCUUGGGAAACUGAUAAUCUAGAGUGAGGGAGAGGCAGAUGGAAUUGGUGGUGUAGGGGUAAAAUCCGUAGAGAUCACCAGGAAUACCCAUUGCGAAGGCGAUCUGCUGGAGCUCAACUGACGCUAAUGCGUGAAAGCGUAGGGAGCAAACAGGAUUAGAUACCCCGGUAGUCCCUGUCUCUUAUAA
rnacentral:rRNA from 1 species